rnacentral:rRNA from 1 species
GUCCAGACUCCUACGGGAGGCAGCAGUGGGGAAUAUUGCACAAUGGGGGAAGCCCUGAUGCAGCGACGCCGCGUGAGCGAUGAAGUAUUUCGGUAUGUAAAGCUCUAUCAGCAGGGAAGAAAAUGACGGUACCUGACUAAGAAGCCCCGGUUAACUACGUGCCAGCAGCCGCGGUAAUACGUAGGGGGCAAGCGUUAUCCGGAUUUACUGGGUGUAAAGGGAGCGUAGACGGCUGUGCAAGCCAGAUGUGAAAGCCCGGGGCUCAACCCCGGGACUGCAUUUGGAACUGUGUGGCUGGAGUGUCGGAGAGGCAGGCGGAAUUCCUAGUGUAGUGGUGAAAUGCGUAGAUAUUAGGAGGAACACCAGUGGCGAAGGCGGCCUGCUGGACGAUGACUGACGUUGAGGCUCGAAAGCGUGGGGAGCAAACAGGAUUAGAUACCCUUGUA